UGCAGUCGAGCGGCAGCACGGGUACUUGUACCUGGUGGCGAGCGGCGGACGGGUGAGUAAUGCCUAGGAAUCUGCCUGGUAGUGGGGGAUAACGUUCGGAAACGAACGCUAAUACCGCAUACGUCCUACGGGAGAAAGCAGGGGACCUUCGGGCCUUGCGCUAUCAGAUGAGCCUAGGUCGGAUUAGCUAGUUGGUGAGGUAAUGGCUCACCAAGGCGACGAUCCGUAACUGGUCUGAGAGGAUGAUCAGUCACACUGGAACUGAGACACGGUCCAGACUCCUACGGGAGGCAGCAGUGGGGAAUAUUGGACAAUGGGCGAAAGCCUGAUCCAGCCAUGCCGCGUGUGUGAAGAAGGUCUUCGGAUUGUAAAGCACUUUAAGUUGGGAGGAAGGGCAGUUACCUAAUACGUGAUUGUUUUGACGUUACCGACAGAAUAAGCACCGGCUAACUCUGUGCCAGCAGCCGCGGUAAUACAGAGGGUGCAAGCGUUAAUCGGAAUUACUGGGCGUAAAGCGCGCGUAGGUGGUUCGUUAAGUUGGAUGUGAAAUCCCCGGGCUCAA
rnacentral:rRNA from 1 species